AUUGAACGCUGGCGGCAGGCCUAACACAUGCAAGUCGAGCGCGCGGCGGACGGGUGUGUAAUGUCUGGGAAACAGUCUGUUGGAGGGGGAUAACUACUCGAAAAGGUAGCUAAUAUCGCAUAUCAUCUGAUGUGCCCAGAUGGGAUUAGCUCGUAGGUGGGGUAACGGCUCACCUAGGCGACGAUCCCUAGCUGGUCUGAGAGGAUGAGCAGCCACACUGGAACUGAGACACGGUCCAGACUCCUACGGGAGGCAGCAGUGGGGAAUAUUGCACAAUGGGCGCAAGCCUGAUACAGCCAUGCCGCGUGUGUGAAGAAGGCCUUCGGGUUGUAAAGCACUUUCAGCGGGGAGGCGUUACCCGCAGAAGAAGCACCGGCUAACUCCGUGCCAGCAGCCGCGGUAAUAC
rnacentral:rRNA from 1 species